rnacentral:tRNA from 1 species
GCGAGUAUGGCGCUCGGAGUCCCAAGCCUUCCAAGCUGGCCAUGCCGGUUCGAUCCCGGUCACCCGCUCCA